rnacentral:rRNA from 1 species
AACGAACGCUGGCGGCGCGCCUAACACAUGCAAGUCGAACGAGGUUAUUUUUUGAAACCGGCUUCGGUUGGUGGAAAGUUAUAAUCUAGUGGCGGACGGGUGAGUAACACGUAGGUAACCUACCCUAGGGAUCGGGAUACUCCCGAGAAAUCGGGGACAAUACCGGGUAUCAUUACAGGGCGAAAUUCCCAGUAAUAAAAGCUGCGAGCAAUCGUGGCGCCUUAGGAUGGGCCUGCGGCCUAUCAGCUUGUUGGUGAGGUAACGGCUUACCAAGGCUAUGACGGGUAACCGGACUGAGAGGUCGAUCGGUCACACUGGAACUGAGACACGGUCCAGACUCCUACGGGAGGCAGCAGUGGGGAAUUUUGCGCAAUGGGCGAAAGCCUGACGCAGCGACGCCGCGUGGAGGAAGAAGGCCUUUGGGUUGUAAACUCCUUUCGUGAGGGAAAAAGUCUCGAGCAAUCGGGAUG